rnacentral:rRNA from 1 species
GAUGAACGCUGGCGGCGUGCCUAAUACAUGCAAGUCGAGCGAACAGAUGAGGAGCUUGCUCCUCUGACGUUAGCGGCGGACGGGUGAGUAACACGUGGAUAACCUACCUAUAAGACUGGGAUAACUUCGGGAAACCGGAGCUAAUACCGGAUAAUAUAUUGAACCGCAUGGUUCAAUAGUGAAAGACGGUUUUGCUGUCACUUAUAGAUGGAUCCGCGCCGCAUUAGCUAGUUGGUAAGGUAACGGCUUACCAAGGCAACGAUGCGUAGCCGACCUGAGAGGGUGAUCGGCCACACUGGAACUGAGACACGGUCCAGACUCCUACGGGAGGCAGCAGUAGGGAAUCUUCCGCAAUGGGCGAAAGCUUGACGGAGCAACGCCGCGUGAGUGAUGAAGGUCUUCGGAUCGUAAAACUCUGUUAUUAGGGAAGAACAAAUGUGUAAGUAACUAUGCACGUCUUGUCGGUACCUAAUCAGAAAGCCACGGCUAACUACGUG